rnacentral:rRNA from 1 species
UACGAAGGGGGCUAGCGUUGCUCGGAAUCACUGGGCGUAAAGCGCACGUAGGCGGCUUUUUAAGUCAGGGGUGAAAUCCUGGAGCUCAACUCCAGAACUGCCUUUGAUACUGAGAAGCUCGAGUCCGGGAGAGGUGAGUGGAACUGCGAGUGUAGAGGUGAAAUUCGUAGAUAUUCGCAAGAACACCAGUGGCGAAGGCGGCUCACUGGCCCGGCACUGACGCUGAGGUGCGAAAGCGUGGGGAGCGAACAGG